rnacentral:rRNA from 1 species
AGUUAUUAAGGGCGCACGGUGGAUGCCUUGGCACUAGAAGCCGAUGAAGGACGUUACUAACGACGAUAUGCUUUGGGGAGCUGUAAGUAAGCUUUGAUCCAGAGAUUUCCGAAUGGGGAAACCCAGCAUGAGUUAUGUCAUGUUAUCGAUAUGUGAAUACAUAGCAUAUCAGAAGGCACACCCGGAGAACUGAAACAUCUUAGUACCCGGAGGAAGAGAAAGAAAAUUCGAUUCCCUUAGUAGCGGCGAGCGAAACGGGAAGAGCCCAAACCAACAAGCUUGCUUGUUGGGGUUGUAGGACACUCUAUACGGAGUUACAAAGGACGACAUUAGACGAAUCAUCUGGAAAGAUGAAUCAAAGAAGGUAAUAAUCCUGUAGUCGAAAAUGUUGUCUCUCUUGAGUGGAUCCUGAGUACGACGGAGCACGUGAAAUUCCGUCGGAAUCUGGGAGGACCAUCUCCUAAGGCUAAAUACUCUCUAGUGACCGAUAGUGAACCAGUACCGUGAGGGAAAGGUGAAAAGCACCCCGGAAGGGGAGUGAAAUAGAACCUGAAACCGUGUGCUUACAAGUAGUCAGAGCCCGUUAAUGGGUGAUGGCGUGCCUUUUGUAGAAUGAACCGGCGAGUUACGAUUUGAUGCAAGGUUAAGCAGUAAAUGUGGAGCCGUAGCGAAAGCGAGUCUGAAUAGGGCGUUUAGUAUUUGGUCGUAGACCCGAAACCAGGUGAUCUACCCUUGGUCAGGUUGAAGUUCAGGUAACACUGAAUGGAGGACCGAACCGACUUACGUUGAAAAGUGAGCGGAUGAACUGAGGGUAGCGGAGAAAUUCCAAUCGAACCUGGAGAUAGCUGGUUCUCUCCGAAAUAGCUUUAGGGCUAGCCUCAAGUGAUGAUUAUUGGAGGUAGAGCACUGUUUGGACGAGGGGCCCCUCUCGGGUUACCGAAUUCAGACAAACUCCGAAUGCCAAUUAAUUUAACUUGGGAGUCAGAACAUGGGUGAUAAGGUCCGUGUUCGAAAGGGAAACAGCCCAGACCACCAGCUAAGGUCCCAAAAUAUAUGUUAAGUGGAAAAGGAUGUGGCGUUGCCCAGACAACUAGGAUGUUGGCUUAGAAGCAGCCAUCAUUUAAAGAGUGCGUAAUAGCUCACUAGUCGAGUGACACUGCGCCGAAAAUGUACCGGGGCUAAACAUAUUACCGAAGCUGUGGAUUGUCCUUUGGACAAUGGUAGGAGAGCGUUCUAAGGGCGUUGAAGCAUGAUCGUAAGGACAUGUGGAGCGCUUAGAAGUGAGAAUGCCGGUGUGAGUAGCGAAAGACGGGUGAGAAUCCCGUCCACCGAUUGACUAAGGUUUCCAGAGGAAGGCUCGUCCGCUCUGGGUUAGUCGGGUCCUAAGCUGAGGCCGACAGGCGUAGGCGAUGGAUAACAGGUUGAUAUUCCUGUACCACCUAUAAUCGUUUUAAUCGAUGGGGGGACGCAGUAGGAUAGGCGAAGCGUGCGAUUGGAUUGCACGUCUAAGCAGUAAGGCUGAGUAUUAGGCAAAUCCGGUACUCGUUAAGGCUGAGCUGUGAUGGGGAGAAGACAUUGAGUCUUCGAGUCGUUGAUUUCACACUGCCGAGAAAAGCCUCUAGAUAGAAAAUAGGUGCCCGUACCGCAAACCGACACAGGUAGUCAAGAUGAGAAUUCUAAGGUGAGCGAGCGAACUCUCGUUAAGGAACUCGGCAAAAUGACCCCGUAACUUCGGGAGAAGGGGUGCUCUUUAGGGUUAACGCCCAGAAGAGCCGCAGUGAAUAGGCCCAAGCGACUGUUUAUCAAAAACACAGGUCUCUGCUAAACCGUAAGGUGAUGUAUAGGGGCUGACGCCUGCCCGGUGCUGGAAGGUUAAGAGGAGUGGUUAGCUUCUGCGAAGCUACGAAUCGAAGCCCCAGUAAACGGCGGCCGUAACUAUAACGGUCCUAAGGUAGCGAAAUUCCUUGUCGGGUAAGUUCCGACCCGCACGAAAGGCGUAACGAUUUGGGCACUGUCUCAACGAGAGACUCGGUGAAAUCAUAGUACCUGUGAAGAUGCAGGUUACCCGCGACAGGACGGAAAGACCCCGUGGAGCUUUACUGUAGCCUGAUAUUGAAAUUCGGCACAGCUUGUACAGGAUAGGUAGGAGCCUUUGAAACGUGAGCGCUAGCUUACGUGGAGGCGCUGGUGGGAUACUACCCUAGCUGUGUUGGCUUUCUAACCCGCACCACUUAUCGUGGUGGGAGACAGUGUCAGGCGGGCAGUUUGACUGGGGCGGUCGCCUCCUAAAAGGUAACGGAGGCGCUCAAAGGUUCCCUCAGAAUGGUUGGAAAUCAUUCAUAGAGUGUAAAGGCAUAAGGGAGCUUGACUGCGAGACCUACAAGUCGAGCAGGGUCGAAAGACGGACUUAGUGAUCCGGUGGUUCCGCAUGGAAGGGCCAUCGCUCAACGGAUAAAAGCUACCCCGGGGAUAACAGGCUUAUCUCCCCCAAGAGUUCACAUCGACGGGGAGGUUUGGCACCUCGAUGUCGGCUCAUCGCAUCCUGGGGCUGUAGUCGGUCCCAAGGGUUGGGCUGUUCGCCCAUUAAAGCGGUACGCGAGCUGGGUUCAGAACGUCGUGAGACAGUUCGGUCCCUAUCCGUCGUGGGCGUAGGAAAUUUGAGAGGAGCUGUCCUUAGUACGAGAGGACCGGGAUGGACAUACCUCUGGUGUACCAGUUGUCGUGCCAACGGCAUAGCUGGGUAGCUAUGUGUGGACGGGAUAAGUGCUGAAAGCAUCUAAGCAUGAAGCCCCCCUCAAGAUGAGAUUUCCCAACUUCGGUUAUAAGAUCCCUCAAAGAUGAUGAGGUUAAUAGGUUCGAGGUGGAAGCAUGGUGACAUGUGGAGCUGACGAAUACUAAUCGAUCGAAGACUUAAUCAA